CGCAGGCCGCGGCGUACGGCAGGUGCGUGCAGGCCUCCACGGCCCCGGGCGGCCGCCUGAGUAAGGACUUUUGCGCGCGGGAGUUCGAGGCCCUGCGGAGCUGCUUCGCCGCCGCGGCCAAGAAAACCCUGGAGGGAGGCUGUUAGGAGGGACUCUGAGCUUCACACCUGUCUGCUGCCAUGGGUGCAGAGCCCUAGUCCUGAUGGCCCCUGGUGGCACAUAUCGAAUGCCUAGGGCAGAAAGGAAGUGGGAAUGGCGAAGAUGUGACGUUCCUCGGUGUUAGAUCCUGUUUUUUCUUAACAAGUUGAGGCGUGGGUAGAGCAGGAAUUGGUUUUCCAGCAUUGUGUCCGUAAACCUGAGUUAGAAUAAGAUGUAACGGAAGCCACGAUAAAGACUCGGUCAAAUCCUGCAGCCUGGGGCUUACUGUGUGCAGACUGCAACAUGUGGGUCUUGGCCUCUCUGAGAUGGAAUGGGGCCCAGAGGCUUUCCCCCAAAGCUGGCAGGGCUGGGACUUGGGGACACCCUGCCUCAAGGUCCCCGUUUUAAAACACUCUCACUAAGGUAUUUAAUGUGAAUCUGGUGAAGCCUGCAGACCUUGCUGUGGGUAUACAGCACACACCAAAGACAAGGACGUCAG
rnacentral:lncRNA from 1 species